UAAGUGACGUUCUGGGGACAGCGGAGAUUGCCCAAGAAGGGAGAAGCCGGUAAGAGGAGGGCCUCUGAAAGGGCUCUAAGGAACCUCAAAGGAAGCAGAGGAGCAGAGGUCAGAGAAAGAGACGUGGAAAUGACUAGAAAGCAAAGGAAAAAACAAGGAGGGUGUGGAGCCAAUGAACUGAAAGGAAAAGUGAGUUUUUUUCAGAAAGGACAGAGUGACUGUGAGAUCAUGAAAAAUAGGGACUAAAAAGUAUCCCCUGGACAUGAAGAUCGUUGGUCAGUGACCUUAGCAUGAAUUCGGUGUGCGGGGAGGGAAGGGGUCAUCUUCUCUAAGUGUUUCUGGCAGACGUUAGUGAGAACAGGGUCUUCAGGAAAAGCUACGUGCUGGUGAGAAGUCGGACAGGACACUGCCGCCGGGAGUGGCUGAAGGCAGCACGGCCACCACCGCACACGUGCACCAGUACUUUGCCUUCCCAGAAAGACGCGUAGGUGGUAGACAGGACUCCAGACCCGCAGGGCCUUAACCGCAUCUCCUUUGUUGAAGAGAUUUUGUGUCUCCAGGGAGUCAGAGUGACUUGAUAUCUCAGAGCAGUUCUGCAGUGUGUAUGCGGUGGUUCUUCAUGGAGCGCGGUGAGUCCUAUGAGCAGACAGAGAACAAGAGCAUAUUAGAGAUCAGCUCAAGUGCAGCCCUCUCAUUUUACAUAGGAGGAAUUGGGCAUGGAAAGAUGAAGCAAUUUUCCCAAAUCCACAGAGCUACUUCGUGGCAGAUCUAGGCCUGCAACUUUGGGGUCAGGUGUCUCCGAGGCUGUGCUGUCCCGUUCGAAAGCAGUGAAUCAGCCACAGCGCCCAUAAUUGAGAGCUUCUUCCGGCCGGGAGGGUACCUUCUCCACCUCUCACGACAGAUCUUUAAAGGAGGCCUUAUCACUCCCAUUUCCCAGGUCUUCAAGUCAUGGCAGAGACAAAAGCCUUGGCAACUGGGUAACUCCCUGAACGAUAAUCCAGUGUUGGAUCUCCUGACUCUACCAUAUAUCAGUGGAUGGCCACGGGCAAGUUGCUGAACUUCUCUGAGCCUCAGGUUUCUCAUCUGCUUUCGGAAUAAGUGCAGGGAGAAGAAGGUGAAAAGAGUUGGAACUGACAAUAAAACUCCAGCGCCCUGGAGAGGGGGCCUUCCUGGAAGCUACAUAAGUCUCCCUGAUGGAAGGAAAUCUUAGCGACUUUGGAAACGACUCAAGUUUGCUGUCAUGUUCACAUGUGGUGGUCGUGACGGUCAGGGCCAGGGGGAGGCUGCACCUUAGUGAACAGUUUGGGUGAAUGAGGGCUGUACUAAACUCACCGAUGUGAGAAAUGCCAAGUUUUCCAGAUAAUAGGUGGCACCUUAGAUGUCAGAGUCCACUGCAAAUAAUAGUUCGUGCUCAGUUAGUUAUGGGUACUAAGUAAAUAUUAAUAGAAACUGAUAAGAUCAUGAUUUGGAGAAAAACAGAGGAGCAGUAAGUAGAUUGUGACAAGUUGCUGUGUAAUUACCUUUCAUCUUUUGGGGUAAAGGAGAACUGAAUAAAGCCACUCAUGUUACCUA